CAGAGUAGCUAAAUCGCGUUAAGUGCUAUAUCAUGGGAAGUUGGAUAUAGACGAACACUAUUGUGGCGGUGGUUUAGCGCGUCCGCUGU
rnacentral:ncRNA from 1 species